UACGAAGGGGGCUAGCGUUGCUCGGCCUCACUGGGCGUAAGGCGCACGUGGGCGGACGAUUAAGUCAGAGGUGAAAGCCUGGAGCUCAACUCCAGAACUGCCUUUGAUACUGGUUGUCUUGAGUUCGGAAGAGGUUGGUGGAACUGCGAGUGUAGAGGUGAAAUUCGUAGAUAUUCGCAAGAACACCGGUGGCGAAGGCGGCCAACUGGUCCGAUACUGACGCUGAGGUGCGAAAGCGUGGGGAUCAAACAGG
rnacentral:rRNA from 1 species